rnacentral:rRNA from 1 species
AGUGAACGCUGGCGGUAGGCCUAACACAUGCAAGUCGAACGGCAGCACAGUAAGAGCUUGCUCUUACGGGUGGCGAGUGGCGGACGGGUGAGGAAUACAUCGGAAUCUACUUUUUCGUGGGGGAUAACGUAGGGAAACUUACGCUAAUACCGCAUACGACCUACGGGUGAAAGCAGGGGAUCUUCGGACCUUGCGCGAUUGAUUGAGCCGAUGUCGGAUUAGCUAGUUGGCGGGGUAAAGGCCCACCAAGGCAACGAUCCGUAGCUGGUCUGAGAGGAUGAUCAGCCACACUGGAACUGAGACACGGUCCAGACUCCUACGGGAGGCAGCAGUGGGGAAUAUUGGACAAUGGGCGCAAGCCUGAUCCAGCCAUACCGCGUGGGUGAAGAAGGCCUUCGGGUUGUAAAGCCCUUUUGUUGGGGAAGAAAAGCAGCAGGUUAAUACCCCGCUGUUCUGACGGUACCCAAAGAAUAAGCACCGGCUAACUUCGUG